ensembl:lncRNA
GCUCCUGAUGGAGAACACAUGCAGGAAGAAGUUGGUCCCACGGAAGCAGGGGAGCAAGGAGGGACAUCUUGAGUGUGCACUGAACCAGAAAUAUUUGGUUGACUUCAACAAGAAAGAUAAAGACCAGCAACGUCCAGACCCAGCACCAUCUGGUCUCAGAAAGUGCAAGAGAGCUGGAAUUGGACACACAGCAGUAAGAGAGCUUCCUGAGGAAUAAGUUGCUUUCUCAGGAGUCCCUGAUGACAAACAUCCUGAAUGAAAACACCACUUGAGAGACAACUUGGGGGACCGCCUUUCAUUAUGUGUGCUAGAGGAGAAAGAGCAAUACAUCUGUGCUUCUAAAUGUUCGUUAAGAAUAUGCUGUUUAGAAAUAUUUUUGUUAUGAUUUUAAUUGAAAUUUUCUUUUUGUUGUUUCAUAUUUAUAUGUUCUUGUUACUGUUUUUCACUUU